rnacentral:tRNA from 1 species
GGAGAAUUGGCAGAGUGGUCGAUUGCGGCUGACUUGAAAUCAGUUAGGCCGGGAAACCGGCCUCGGGAGUUCGAAUCUCUCAUUCUCCG